UACGGGGGGGGCAAGCGUUGUUCGGAAUUACUGGGCGUAAAGGGCUCGUAGGCGGCCAACUAAGUCAGACGUGAAAUCCCUCGGCUUAACCGGGGAACUGCGUCUGAUACUGGAUGGCUUGAGUUUGGGAGAGGGAUGCGGAAUUCCAGGUGUAGCGGUGAAAUGCGUAGAUAUCUGGAGGAACACCGGUGGCGAAGGCGGCGACCUGGUCCAUUACUGACGCUGAGGCGCGACAGCGUGGGGAGCAAACAGG
rnacentral:rRNA from 1 species